GGGUUGUUAGCUCAGUUGGUAGAGCAGUGGACUCUUAAUCCAUUGGUCGAGGGUUCGAACCCCUCACGACCCACCA
rnacentral:tRNA from 1 species